CUCCUGACCUCAGGUCAUCUGCUCACCUCCUCCCAAAGUGCUGGGAUUACAGGCAUGAGUCACCCAGCCCGGCCUGCAGGAGUUCUUAACACCUGUGCAGAGAAGUCUGAGCACCUUGCAACUGAGCAGCAGAUGUGUCUCAUGAAGGGAAGGCAGUUUUAGCUAUGGAGCAAAUGCUGAGUGCCAAGCUGGAGGAGGUGGGACAAGAAGAAGGUGAGAAUGGAAGGAUCACGGAAGUCUGUUUCUCAGAAGACCUGGAUUCAAGUCUAAGUUCUCCAUAUUUAUUAGCUUUGCAGCCUUGGGCAAAUCAUUAAGGCUCUGAGCUGUUUGCUCCUUUGUGGAAUGAGGGAGAUAAUGAUAGUGGCUGUUUGUUGAGGGCUCUCUGCAAAUUACAAAUUACAUGCCGCAGUUAGCGUGUACUAAACAUUAUGCUCAAGGUAAUUCCCGUAAAAGACUGAACCCAGUGCCAGAAACACGGUCAAUGUACAAUAAAUGCCGGCUGCUAUUAUUUUGUUGAUCCUCAUAACAAUCCCCUGCUUCAUAAUGACCACAGAAAUAAUAAUAGUUACUAGCAUUUACAGAGCACUUUCUAUGCAGCCAGCCAUUGUUUUCAGGGCUCUAGGUGAAUUAACUUAUUUAAUUUCCCAGCUAUCCCCUGAGGUUCAUUCUAUUUUUAACCCCAUUUGAUGUGUGAGAAAAUUGAAGCACAAUUAAGUUAAAUGCGUUGCCCAAGACUCACGGCUAGAAAUUGACAAACAGCUGGAAAGCAGAGGAGAUAUUCUUAUUGCUGCCCAUUUCACAAGGAUGGUAACUAAGGCACAGAGAGGCUGAGCAGCGUGCCCAGGGUCAGGGUCGGGAGAACUCUCCUCUGGGUUGCUGGGCAGAUGAAAUGACAUAAUGGAUGGGAAAUGGCUUUGUGAACUGUCCUUCCGUUUGUGUUUAGCCGGCAGUAAGAUUUGCAUGUUCUGUUUUUUCUGGUCUAGUUGCAUCCACUCGUCUGAGACCCAGGGGGCUUUAGAAGGACCUGCCUGGACUUGGCUUAUCAUUGGAUGGGUGCUUUGUGUAUAGGGUCCUGGACUUAUAUCCCCUUGGGACAGCCUAGGAGCUGUGGCUUGUCUGACUUCAAAGCCGUUGCCAGCUGGGAGGCUUUGAGAGGAGCCAGCUGGCAGCUGGCCACCAUCAUGUGCAGCUGAGGUUACCAGCGGCCACCCUCCCACCUUCCUCCAGCCACACUCACCGUCUCCAGUGGCUGAUUCUCAGACACUCCCAGGACAGCAGGCAGCCAUGCUGGGGGAAGAGCAGCUCAAGGCCCCUAGUGGAGUGGAGCUAAUCAGGGUACAAGGAAACCUCUUUUUGCUCCCUUCCCCAUUAUGCUUCUGGCAAACCCCUCUCCCACAGGGCUCUUCAGGCAUGACACCCUAGAAAUCCCUGGGCAAAUGUCUGUACAAGAAUUAUUUUCUUAUGAUGAUCUGUGAUCUGGUGUAACAUGAAAUUUCUCCAAUUAAAAUGACUUUGACUCUCAA